rnacentral:rRNA from 1 species
UACUGACGCUGAGGUACGAAAGCAUGGGGAGCAAACAGGAUUAGAUACCCUGGUAGUCCAUGCCGUAAACGAUGUCUACUAGCCGUUGGGGCCUUUGAGGCUUUAGUGGCGCAGCUAACGCGAUAAGUAGACCGCCUGGGGAGUACGGUCGCAAGACUAAAACUCAAAUGAAUUGACGGGGGCCCGCACAAGCGGUGGAGCAUGUGGUUUAAUUCGAUGCAACGCGAAGAACCUUACCUGGCCUUGACAUACUAGAAACUUUCCAGAGAUGGAUUGGUGCCUUCGGGAAUCUAGAUACAGGUGCUGCAUGGCUGUCGUCAGCUCGUGUCGUGAGAUGUUGGGUUAAGUCCCGCAACGAGCGCAACCCUUUUCCUUACUUGCCAGCAUUUCGGAUGGGAACUUUAAGGAUACUGCCAGUGACAAACUGGAGGAAGGCGGGGACGACGUCAAGUCAUCAUGGCCCUUACGGCCAGGGCUACACACGUGCUACAAUGGUCGGUACAAAGGGUUGCUACACAGCGAUGUGAUGCUAAUCUCAAAAAGCCGAUCGUAGUCCGGAUUGGAGUCUGCAACUCGACUCCGUGAAGUCGGAAUCGCUAGUAAUCGCGGAUCAGAAUGCCGCGGUGAAUACGUUCCCGGGCCUUGUACACACCGCCCGUCACACCAUGGGAGUUUGUUGCACCAGAAGUAGCUAGCCUAACUGCAAAGAGGGCGGUUACCACGGUGUGGCCGAUGACUGGGGUG